rnacentral:rRNA from 1 species
UACAGAGGUCUCAAGCGUUGUUCGGAUUCACUGGGCGUAAAGGGUGCGUAGGUGGCUGGGUAAGUUCGGUGUGAAAUCUCGGAGCUUAACUCCGAAAUGGCAUUGAAUACUAUCUAGCUUGAGGGUCGGAGGGGAGACUGGAAUUCUCGGUGUAGCAGUGAAAUGCGUAGAUAUCGAGAGGAACACCAGUGGCGAAGGCGAGUCUCUGGACGACUCCUGACACUGAGGCACGAAAGCCAGGGGAGCAAACAGG